rnacentral:snoRNA from 1 species
UCUGGGUUGAAUUGGAAACAAUUUUCAUCGAAAAAAAUGGAAAAAUAAAAGUUCAACUCAACAUUCAUCUCAAG